CAGCGCGACAGUCUCUUGGGAAGCUGGGCAUGUGGCCUCCACACAGACAGAUGGGUAUCCAGAUAGCCAAUCAGAGGGCCUCCAGAGCCCGCGGACCCCCAGACAGAAGACUCCUCUCCUGCAGCGCUGGGAGUCCGGCCAGGUCAUGAACGGCCAUGGAGGGGAGGAGGAGGACUAAGACAGGCCUUGUGUCAGUUUGUCCUUUUAGAGUAUAAUGAACAAGAUUACAUAGACAAUGGGGGACUUGACCCUAGAUCAGUACUCCUAUUAUGAGACGGUUUAUGAAUACAGGCCCUGAUCUACUGCUGAAAGCUCAGGGGAAGGAACGGGAAGAAACCAGAUCAUUGGAAUGAAGAAUUAGAAACAGACAACCAUGGAAGUAGAAUAUCUGAAAAUGCACUGGAGAAACAGAGGUUMUMGGAYUUGGAACUCUGGACUUUUGGAACCYUUUGAAUGUCAUAUCAGAACUUUGGAACUGAACUGUAAAUUGGAGCUUUGGAAUGCAGUGGGAGAGAUUGGAACCAAUGGAUGGUCAUUGGAAGAUGUUUUUACCAGAAGAGACCGGCCGAAUCUCUACAGUACGGUUUUUGUGAGGGUUGAAGGAYGUUGAAAUGGGUUACGUUGMAUUGCUUCUGAYGCACAUGACUCAGCAUGGAUUUAUAUGGAUAUGUAUAUAAUGCACAUUUUGUGAUAAAUCUWUUUUGGGAGAAUAUUUCCUUCRCCGUAGUUUCUAUUUACUAUAGAUAAGCCGUUUCUACAGUAUGUAAGUUGACAUUAUGAUAUAAUUAUGUGUAAUUAAUAAGUGAUUAACAAAUGCAAUCUACAUUCAGUCAGCUACUACAAAUCAAGUCAGUCCACAUAGUAAAUACUGCAAAAUCUAAUGUAUGAUACCGAUCUAACAUAAUCAUUCAUCAGAGAUGGUGUUUUUAUGCAAGAUGAUGUCCAUAAAGUAGUCAAGAUGAACAAUUACAUACAUGUAAACCCAA